ACCAAUUGUCUGACCCCUAAUCAUCUGUGGGCAGAGAAUUCCAGCAUCUAUCAGUGCUUACACCCGCUGCUGCACUGUGCUCCACUCUCACCCAGAAGUCUAUCAACCAGGACAAAGAGAGAAAGAAGAUUUCCGUGGUCCUCACGGCCAUAGCCAUCCUGGUGAAUGGCAUGAGUAUAAGCUAAUGAAUAAUAUGAUUAAUUCUGCAGCACCUGACGUUUGCUACAACUCUGCAGAGCAGUUUUGAUGAUUCGGAAACAUACUAAAAGAACAAGACCUCCGCAACAGCUGCUCAUAUGAUACCGCUUUGCUGCUCUCCAGGAAUUCCAAUCUUAGCACAGCCUGACUGUAAACAAGGACACCUAAUUCCUCCGUGGCACCAGGGAGAGAGAGGCUAAAGGGAGGACCAGAGAGACCCUUAGAAGAGCUUGCAGAGUGAAUAAAGGCUCACCAAUGGGGAGACACUAUGGUACUCUGGAAAGAGC